CCUACGGGCCGCACCAGUGGGGAAUAUUGCACAAUGGGCGCUAGCCUGAUGCAGCCAUGCCGCGUGUGUGAAGAAGGCCUUCGGGUUGUAAAGCACUUUCAGCGGGGAGGAAGGCGAUGAGGUUAAUAACCUUGUCGAUUGACGUUACCCGCAGAAGAAGCACCGGCUAACUCCGUGCCAGCAGCCGCGGUAAUACGGAGGGUGCAAGCGUUAAUCGGAAUUACUGGGCGUAAAGCGCACGCAGGCGGUCUGCCAAGUCGGAUGUGAGAUCCCCGGGCUCAACCUGGGAACUGCACUCGAAACUGGCAGGCUAGAGUCUUGUAGAGGGGGGUUGAAUUCCAGGUGUAGCGGUGAAAUGCGUAGAGAUCUGGAGGAAUACCGGUGGCGAAGGCGGCCCCCUGGACAAAGACUGACGCUCAGGUGCGAAAGCGUGGGGAGCAAACAGGAUUAGAUACCCGAGUAGUC
rnacentral:rRNA from 1 species